AUUCCAAAUCUUCUAAGUUCACACCUGCAUAUUGAAAACACCAGAGGAGAUGGACCAAGAAUUCCCCUCCAAACAGAACAUGUGAAAAUUUGAAAGCAUGUCAUUUGAUUGGUCAAGCUGGUGCAACGCUACCAGUGUUAUACACCAUGCAUGUACACCAUGCUGCUGUGUGACCAAGUGAGGGGCAUCACAAGGAAGGAGAAGAUAUCUAGAUCAUUCAUGGAGCCUUCAACACCUUAUUAAAACCAAAUUACAAAGAGAACUCAAGAAGCCAGAGUUUUACAUUUAGUCAUGACCAGUCAUGACAUUCAGCAAAUGAAUGAGUAUCUGAUGAAAAUUAGUGAGAGUUUUCAGAGAAUGGGAGAUACUGUCGAGACACCUUCACUAAGCCUGCUAUAUUAUACUACAACAAUAUAAUGACAAACAUUGCUGUUAUUCUCCCAAAGAACAUCAAAGAAAUAGUGAAGUCUUACAGUAUCUGAAGAAAAUCCUAGUCCUGCCUAGUAUUAUA